rnacentral:RNase_P_RNA from 1 species
AGAGCAGCACAUGGGGUAACGCCCCUCGGCCGUAAGGUUAGGAACAGUGAAACAGAAAGAAUGUCCGCGGCUUUGAGCCUGAUUUCGGGAACGGGAGAUUUCAGGGGAGCCGGCGGAGUGAAAACAGUCAAACUCUGUGCGAAGCAAGAUCAAAUAGGGAUGCGCAAUUGUGAAAGUCGCAAGAUUUUUACGGUUUAACAGCGGCUCGCUGAAGACAUCCGGGUCAGAUCGCUUGAGCCCACAAGUAAUUGUGGGCCUAGAGGAAUGCUUACCAACUUAUCAAGGGAAUGUGGGAACCAAGAUAAGAAACAGAACUCGGCUUACAGUAAAACCCUCCCA